AAGAAAUCAAAGCGGCAUUACAGUGUAUUUUGUAUCGAAUUGAUAGGAAGUUCAUUUUAUUUGUGUGGAAGUGCAUUCUUCAUUUUAUAUGUCUUUGUUGUGUGAAUUUGACUGUGUAUUAACUUCAAAUUUGAUGCCAUUGGAUUUUUGACUGUCGAAUAUUGCGAAUCGAAUUCAGUUUAGCGAAAAAUCCUCACAAGACUGCAAAAUGGGUCGUCACAAGAAGGCUGAUCCAAACGCCGACCAAAGGUGUAUAAAGCAAGGACUGCCAUCAAUUAUCCGUGAACGAUAUCGGGAUGUAAUUGUCGCAAUCAUUUCGUACUUAUCGGUGAAGGCUACGAAGAUCGCAUGCCUUGCAUCGUUACUAUUUUUGAUGAAGGUCAAUGAAGCACUCGACGAUUUCAACUAUGAUUUUUUUGAAACCGAUGAACCAUCAACGAUCAUACACAACUGUUUUAAGGCCGUUCUUGUCGAUAACAUUAGUAACAUAUCGCUUAUGUUACCUGGUUUCCGCAACAUUGUCGACGCUGCACACAUUGACUGGCCCACAAACGGUGGGUUCGGGAACGGUUUUAAAUAUAUAUGGGAGCAGUACUACGACAAUGUCAAAACGAACCUGACAACGCAUUGCGAGUCUCGAUUGCGGAAGUUUUUUAAAAUGAGAGCAUUCGAACUCAACGACUACGCCAUCAAGUACAAUUAUUUCAACAAUUUGUACGGUAUGAUCGAAUUCGAAUUGCCAUACUACGACGAGGAAGAUAUAAAAAAUGCCAUCAAUUAUACUUAUCGUCGUCGAAACACCGCAAUUGGCGACGUUGAACGUGAGAUGCGAUUGGGUGAACUAUUGGAUGAAUUGCGUUGGUUGGGAGCACCGGACGAUUGCAAUAUCCGUGACUUUGUGAAAGAGGAUUGGUUCAAGUCGAUUCGCAUGUGGUCGGAAAUUCAGCGCGAUAUUCGGAACUUUCACUUUGCAUACGAAGAUCGUCGCGAUAAACCGCAAAUAAAAAACUUUGUCGUUGUGCCGAUGUGCACUUUUCAGCGUCGACACAUUCGAAUUGACACCGACGCAUUGUACGUUAUCCUAUCGAAUGCGAAAUUGGUGCCUCGAAAGUGCGGUAAACGGACACGUAAAGACGGAACAACAAAUUUCAAAAACAUCACGAGCAACGAAUUCCGCACAAAUAAAAUCCUAAGUUGGAAUUUAUUCUUCGAUGUGGAGAAAAUUCUCAAACUUGUGCACAACAAAAAGGAAUUCGAUUCUCAAAUUUGUUCCGAUGGCGUAUCUGUAUCGUUGAUGUACAAAAAACCGAAAGUACCACCAGUCGAGACAACAGAUGACGAAAUCAAGGCAAUGUAUGACAGCAAUGAGUUGAAAUAUGCUGUUGGAUGUGAUCCGGGUAUGCGAACGUGGAACGCUUCCGUACGACGAGAUUUGCAUACCAAAGAAGAGGUGAAUUUGCGUAUAUCCAGCAAGCGAUAUCACUGGGAUGCGAAACAAGGCCGACGUAAUGCAAAAGCCGAACGAAUCACAAGAUUGUUUACUUUCGAAGAGCAAGCCGAUCGUAAUCGAAUUGCAGCUAUGAUUGGUGAAAUGCCAUCGCCAAAAGGACCAUCAUGGCGUUCGUACAUUGAACAUCGAUUACGUGUAAUGAAUGAUGGCAUUGAAACAUACUCAACCAAACAGUAUGCACGCUUGGGACUGGACAAGCAUAUCGAAUCGGUUCGUGCAAUCGACAAAACGGCAUGCAAAAUGGUUCACAAUCAACCAUCAAUUUUCUACAUGGGAGCCAGCGGAUCAACACCAGCUAAUUCGCCGAUUAAGAUCAAGAAACAUGUGCGAUGUCCAGGCACACGGAAGCUGCUUGCGGCCAUUAUGAAACGUGGCAAUUGCAUCAUUCGAAUGGUCGAUGAGUACAUGACAUCACAACAUUGUCCAUUGUGCUUCAAACGAUUUCCAGUAGCAACUCGAAGCCAUCGGUAUAAGGUAUGUGUUGGUUGUGUACCGAAUCCAAUUGUUGGACUACCACGAACCAUCGUAACCAAUGUGAGCAAACGAUUACUACAAAUGCGACGAACAAUUGAACGAAUGUGGCGCGAGAUGCGUGAUAUAGGCGAUGUCAUUGCUGCAACUCUUCGAGAUGGACCGAAUGCAGGUCGUUUGGUGUCAAAGAAGCAACGCUUCUUCAAAACAUGGCUACCAAAUGUUGCAAACGUUGAAAUCGAGGGAGCUGCCGGAGCACAACCAACGCUCACAACUGUAUGGCACCGUGAUAUCGCAGCAGCGAAGCUGAUCCUCUACAAAGGUGAAUGCGUGGUGUUCAAGCGGACAAUUCAUCCAAAUGUACGGAGACCACGCCGUGUUGACAACAAUCAGCCAUUGCCGUUGUAUCGAGGUCAGAAUCAGAAUGUCAACAAUGGACAUCUGCAGCCGCAGUAGUAGCAGCCCUCAUUCAACAACAUUCAAACAAUACUAAAUUUAGAAAUUAGUUUAUAACAAUUAUUUGUUAGUUCGCUAGGCUUGAUUAAAUUGUGGCCUUGCCAAAGUACGAGUACCUCUUGGUAUAAAUUGUACUCGUAUAUGGUUGGUAACAUAACGAGCUGAUGAAAUGCCAAACCAACCAGAACACAACAUACAAAUACAGCCAAUUGUGAAAGAAUCUCUUGCAAAUUGCCAAUGCUGAGCAAUUUCCCGGUGAUUAUACUACACAUUCCAACACCAUUGAGCCACAUUAUAUAGGUUGUUAGUUUCAUCAGAAUUUCAAAAACACCUUCGAAAAAAUCUUUAAUCACUUUGCCUUUGUUUCCGAUGGUAUUCAAAACCGAACCGAAUAAAAUACAAAAUGUAACUAAGCCCAAUGUUGAUGGGCCUGCUCUAUAUGCCAAAUCACGUGCAACAGUGAUUCCAUUUGUGGAGUUUGUCGUUGUAUACACUGUAAAGAGAAAGCGAAAGAUUAUAUUUUAAAUAAAUUGAUUCAAAGAGAGAGAGAGAGAGAUUUUCG